AUUUGUGAGAGGGUGUGUUUGAUCAACAAUUAAACAUUUAAGGUCUGUCAUACGGCUGUUGUCAGUCUAUAAUAUAAAUCAUAAUCUCACC